UAUAAUUCUAACAGCUUUUUUGUUAGUAGAGUAUUUAAUUGUCUCAAAAUACAGUUACAUUUAUUUUUGUAAGGUAAGAAAAUGUGGUGUUUUGUUUGUAAAUUUACAUUUGUGAAUAUGAAAUUUGGCCAAAAUAAUUUUAGUUUAUGUUUUCCUUAAACUUCUUCAUAUAAUAGUUGGCAGGAUCAUAUUUAUGAAUAUAUUUUUUUUUAACUUCCUUGAUUUUGUUAACAAGUAGGUGUGUGUGGCAACAUCCAAACUUUUUUCCAACAGAUAUUAUCAAUGGUUUUGGUUACGCUACUCGUAUCUUUGCUUUCGAUGUGUUUCUUUGCUUCACUGCCAGUCUUUUCGAUUGCGAGUUUUGGCAUUCUUUUUCCGUGAAGGGCGGGGUUUAGAGGGAGGAGUAGACAAUGAGUCUCCAUUGGCCCGCUAGUUUUGGAGUGACAGUUCGUCUUAAUCCAAUCAAUGAACAUGAUAGACAGGCUUUAAAAAAAAGCUUUUUUUCCCUCACUCAAGUAUUUUUAUAUUCCACAAGUAUUAUCAAAUGUCCUGUGCUAUACAGAUAAUUAUCAGACUCAAGUUACAAAUGCUGGUAAACACCCAAAUACAUGUUGUUUUUUUUAAUUACAAAAGUAGUGCAUUGGACCUUUACUAGUCCUGUAUUAGCGGACCAAGAGACGUCUUCAGCGCGAGCAAUUCGUUUUUCUUCAUAAUAUAAAAUUGCCAUACAUCCAGGAAGGCUAUGCAAGAAAUGCAAUACAUUUCAGAUAAUUAACGUUAGUAGUCAGAUUAUGUAGACCAGUAUAAUAUCACUCCGUCAUCGGUCAGGGCUAACAGGCAUAUAAAUUGCCUAGAUGUAAUGCUAGCCUACAUCAAUCAUAGCUACCUUACUAAACUAUCCCUAGCUAUUUUUAUUGGCCAAGGCUAACGUUGAGCCAAAUCCUGCAAUCAUCCCAGCAGAGGCAACAGUCUUCAGGAAAGCUGCACCUUUCAUUAGCUGUAGUUUUUCAGGCUUUUAUCUUUUGCCUACUUAAGUAGACGGUCUGACGUCACCACUACGCGCCAAAUCUUCCCUUUCUGUACCCGGAUGUUCUGAACAUGGCGUACCAGUUACCAACACUUGCUAUGAAUGUUGUGCAACAGGUAAUUCAUAUGUUUAUCUAAGUACUUAGAUGGUUUGUCAAUAAAUGUAUUAGAGCGGCUUCUAAUAUCUGUACGUUGUUGGCCCGUGACUGACAAUUUUGAAGUACAUUAGCUUAGUUGGCUGGCUUUGGUGUCAGACCAGGUAGCCAAAUGGAAUGAAUCGCAAGAAUGCAUGCCUGUAACGUGACAGCUAGCCACUGUUAGCCGUAGUGAAAGGUGUGUGUGAGAGAACCGUGACAACCCUAAAUAGUUAUUUCAAUACCUGAAGUCUAGACCAAAUCUUGCCUGAUACCAGCUGUUUGGUUGACAUGAUUUCAAAUGACAAUUUUCUUAUGUCCUCACAGGCUAUGGUUUGUCUGACUCAAUGUGGAUAAUCCAAUGCUUUCAAUUCAAAAUGGGUUUGAAUUAUACAACAGCCCAGCUGUUUUUAUAUACACAAGUUAUUUUUUUGUAUUACACAAUCAGUUUCAUAAUGAUGUCCUAUAGAUCAUGUACACAGUGCAGCAACCAACAAAGCAUCAACUGCCCUUGGUUUCUUCCUGGAGUCUGUAGAGAAACUUGGCUUUCCAUUAAGGUAACAGCAUCAUUCCCUCAGUGCUGUGUGGAAUCAGGCACUUGUUUGUAUAUGGACACCGUUGGUUGCUUUGUAUAUGGUCUCGAAUCAGACCAUAUGCCAGGUCUGCCUAAGGCCUUGUCUAUCAAGACAUAUAUAUUUAUGUUGACCAAGUUUCAUACAUCGCAGAGGAGAGUGACUGAAUUACACCUUGAAAUAUGAUUAACAGUUGUCUUGAUUAUAAUCCUAGUCUCUGUCUGUCAGUAUCUAGGGUGAGCGCAGACUAAGGAGUGGAGAAUGUAGACAUCGCAAGAUGCAUGUUUCAUGUCCGUGGUUUUCUGGUAAAAGCAUUCACAAUCAACAUUACUUUCCACCACUAUUUGUAUGUGCUGAAUAGAUAGUGAAAUUUCAAUAAUGUCAUAAUCUAAGACUAUACUUUAUAGAGUAUAGUUAGACAAGUGGCCUACACCUAAAUUAUAAUCCCUACACUGAGUAGAGAAGACAAGCUGUGCUGUUUCUUGCAUAACUGGUAUUUAAAUGCUUUGCAAACGUAGACAAUGUUUCCAUUCAGUUUUUAGGCAAGUAAUGUAUAAAAAAUUAUGACAGCUGUGAUGGAAACAGGAAGUUUCGGUACAACUUGAAAUGCCGACAGAUCAAUUGUUUGGACAUGGUGCCAACUUGCCGGUAAAAUUCAUUAUGUGAGAAAUGGCUGUGGAAAUGCCUUUGUCAAUAUUGAUAUCAUAUCGAAGUAAACUUGUAGUCACGCGAUGAUUGUGUGGUACUCCCACUAUGCCUCUGGAAACCAUGCAGUUUAUUAGACUACAGAUUAAAUCAAUUAUGAGCAUCACAGGGUGGUGAAAGUGCACAGUGAUGGGGUUGAAACAGGUCAAUUCAACUAGAGAUGGUGAAGUAGAAAUACAAAGAAGAAUAGAAUACUUUGAGCAUAAGGAGAUGUAAUUGGUCAAAGGUUAAAAUGAAUUGCAGGACAGAGGACUGGGUAUGAUGUUGAACGUUUCAUUAUGUUGCUUCAAAUGUUCUCUCCUAUGCUAACGGUUAUGGCGGGAUGUGUGGAUCUCCGUGUCAAACAUUUUACAAUGUCCUACCGUUUGGAAGAUGAGGUCUCCCUUGAAGGCUGUUUGACCUAUUCUGUGCCCACUGUAUUCCUCCCGUGCUUCCAAGCAGACCUAGACACUUUUACCAAUGGAUGGGAUAAACAUCCUCUGCACCCCCAACCAGGAUUUAAACAACUUGGACGAUGCCUGCCUGCUGGAGGAGCAUGGCCAGGGAAUUGAGGUCCCACCAGUGGAGUGCCUGCUGAGAGCAGGAUAUGACACUGCUCAGAGCAGCCAUUGACCCAACCUCACUAUCUUGAGACUAUGGACAAGAUAUUUAUGCAUCUGUUUUGAAGUAUGUGCUGCUACUUUUGGCUGAAUUAUCCUUAUACCUCUGCUUGAUACUGUUGCAAGGAAUAAGUCUAGUCCAGUAAUUAUAAAUUGCUGCAGUGUUAUGAAAUGUGGUUGCAGCAAAAUGAGACCAAUUGGCCUUUCUUUAUAUAUUUUUUUAAUUGAAUAACAUUUUCCACAACAUUAGUAACCAAAGAUUCAGGCAGACUAUUUUAAUUGUAUAAUAGAAUAGUCUUCAAACAAGGAGCUGCAGGGAAGAACUCAGAGUAAAUGGUUACAUGUCCCUUUAUGUUGUGAGAGGUAAUAAUACAAUCCUAUUGUUACAAGUUAUUUAUACAAGCAACAGUUCCAGAACACAAUGGCAUUGUGUUAGGGUGCAGACUCCUAGUAUGUCUGCACCCUAUGAAAGGCAUAUCACAGUCCAACACAGAAUAGGCUACAGAACAGCUCACCCCAAAUUCUGCCACCACACUAUGGACAAAGUUUAUUUAAAUAACUAAAAUGGAACUGUUGAAAUACAAAUGGUUGCAGUCAUUAAAUGUACAAAAAAAACGUUUUAACUAUGGGAAAAGGUGAUCCUUUUGACAGAAAAUAAACCUUCAAAUAGAAACAA